rnacentral:tRNA from 1 species
GGCCCGAUGGCGCAGUGGCAAGCGCGUCCACUUCGAUAGCGUCAGGAAGGCUCCUGUUCGAUUCAGGAUCGGGCCG